rnacentral:rRNA from 1 species
GAUGAACGCUGGCGGCGUGCCUAAUACAUGCAAGUCGAGCGAACAGACGAGGAGCUUGCUCCUCUGACGUUAGCGGCGGACGGGUGAGUAACACGUGGAUAACCUACCUAUAAGACUGGGAUAACUUCGGGAAACCGGAGCUAAUAACGGAUAAUAUAUUGAACCGCAAGGUUCACUAGUUAAAGACGGUUUUUGUGUCACUUAUAGAUGGAUCCGCGCCGCAUUAGCUAGUUGGUAAGGUAACGGCUUACCAAGGCGACGAUGCGUAGCCGACCUGAGAGGGUGAUCGGCCACACUGGAACUGAGACACGGUCCAGACUCCUACGGGAGGCAGCAGUAGGGAAUCUUCCGCAAUGGGCGAAAGCCUGACGGAGCAACGCCGCGUGAGUGAUGAAGGUCUUCGGAUCGUAAAACUCUGUUAUUAGGGAAGAACAAAUGUGUAAGUAACUAUGCACGUCUUGACGGUACCUAAUCAGAAAGCCACGGCUAACUACGUG